GAUGAACGCUGGCGGCGUGCUUAACACAUGCAAGUCGAACGGAAAGGCCCUGCUUUUGUGGGGUGCUCGAUUGGCGAACGCGUGAGUAACACGUGAGUAACCUGCCCCUGACUUUGGGAUAACUUCAGGAAACUGGGGCUAAUACCGGAUAGAAGCUCCUGCUGCAUGUUGGGGGUUGGAAAGUUUCGGUGGUUGGGGAUGGACUCGCGGCUUAUCAGCUUGUUGGUGUGGUAGUGGCUUACCAAGGUUUUGACGGGUAGCCGGCCUGAGAGGGUGACCGGGCACCUUGGGACUGAGAUAGGGCCCAGAAUCCUACGGGAGGCAACAGUGGAAAGUAUUACGCAAUGGGCGGAAGCCUGAUGCGAAGACGCCGCGUGCGGGAUGACGGCCUACGGGUUGAAAACCACUUUCGAAUGUGACAAAGCCUGAGUGACGGUAAUGAGUAAGAAAGCACCGGCUAACUACGUG
rnacentral:rRNA from 1 species